AUUGAACGCUGGCGGCAGGCUUAACACAUGCAAGUCGAACGAGUGGCGGACGGGUGAGUAAUGCUUGGGAAUCUAGCUUAUGGAGGGGGAUAACUACGGGAAACUGUAGCUAAUACCGCGUACCAUAGGAUGAGCCCAUAUGGGAUUAGGUAGUUGGUGAGGUAAAGGCUCACCAAGGCGACGAUCUCUAGCUGGUCUGAGAGGAUGACCAGCCACACUGGGACUGAGACACGGCCCAGACUCCUACGGGAGGCAGCAGUGGGGAAUAUUGCGCAAUGGGCGAAAGCUGACGCAGCCAUGCCGCGUGAAUGAAGAAGGCCUUCGGGUUGUAAAGUUCUUUCGGUAGCGAGGCGUUAACGACAGAAGAAGCACCGGCUAACUCCGUGCCAGCAGCCGCGGUAAUAC
rnacentral:rRNA from 1 species